GACAGAGGUGCCGAGCGUUAGGCGGAAUCACUGGGCUUAAAGCGUGUGUAGGCGGACCCGUAAGUACCUUGUGAAAUCCCACGGCUCAACCGUGGAACUGCUUGGUAUACUGCGGGUCUUGAGCCACCUAGGGGCGAGCGGAACAAGUGGUGGAGCGGUGAAAUGCGUAGAUAUCACUUGGAACGCCAAUGGUGAAAACAGCUCGCUGGGGGUGUGCUGACGCUGAGACACGAAAGCCAGGGGAGCAAACGGG
rnacentral:rRNA from 1 species